AACGAUGAAUAGCCAGCCGUUAGGUUUACUCUCUAGUGGCGCAGCUAACGCUUUAAGCAUUCCGCCUGGGGAGUACGGUCGCAAGAUUAAAACUCAAAGGAAUUGACGGGGGCCCGCACAAGCGGUGGAGCAUGUGGUUAAUUCGAGCAACGCGCAGAACCUUACCACCUUGACAUGUGACCGUCCAAAUGACCUUCUCUUCGAUCCGAACAGGUGCACAUGGUUGUCUCACUUUGUAGAUGUGGUGUCCCAGAGCACCCCUGUCUUAGUCACCAUUAGUGACAUUAGAGCUCCCGGUAUAAUCCGGAAAGGUGGGAGAUGUCAGUCUCAUGCCCCUCUGGUCUGGUUCUACACAUCGUGAACAAUGCGGUAACAGUGGGAAUAAGGGGAGCCCUUCGCAUAAUCUAAAAACUCAUUGAUUGGGUUUGAAUUGAUCCAGAGAA
rnacentral:rRNA from 1 species